AUUGAACGCUGGCGGCAGGCUUAACACAUGCAAGUCGAGCGGAGAUGAGGUGCUUGCACCUUAUCUUAGCGGCGGACGGGUGAGUAAUGCUUAGGAAUCUGCCUAUUAGUGGGGGACAACAUUCCGAAAGGAAUGCUAAUACCGCAUACGUCCUACGGGAGAAAGCAGGGGAUCUUCGGACCUUGCGCUAAUAGAUGAGCCUAAGUCGGAUUAGCUAGUUGGUGGGGUAAAGGCCUACCAAGGCGACAAUCUGUAGCGGGUCUGAGAGGAUGAUCCGCCACACUGGGACUGAGACGCGGCCCAGACUCCUACGGGAGGCAGCAGUGGGGAAUAUUGGACAAUGGGGGGAACCCUGAUCCAGCCAUGCCGCGUGUGUGAAGAAGGCCUUAUGGUUGUAAAGCACUUUAAGCGAGGAGGAGGCUACUGAGACUAAUACUCUUGGAUAGUGGACGUUACUCGCAGAAUAAGCACCGGCUAACUCUGUGCCAGCCGCCGCGGUAAUAC
rnacentral:rRNA from 1 species